UACGUAGGGGGCAAGCGUUGUCCGGAAUUAUUGGGCGUAAAGAGCUCGUAGGCGGUCCGUUAAGUCAGAAGUGAAAUCUCAGGGCUCAACCCUGAAAUUGCUUCUGAUACUGGCGGACUUGAGGUAGGUAGGGGAAGGUGGAAUUCCUGGUGUAGCGGUGAAAUGCGCAGAUAUCAGGAGGAACACCGGUGGCGAAGGCGGCCUUCUGGGCCUUACCUGACGCUGAGGAGCGAAAGCGUGGGGAGCGAACAGG
rnacentral:misc_RNA from 1 species